UACAGAGGGUGCAAGCGUUAAUCGGAAUUACUGGGCGUAAAGCGUGCGUAGUCGGUUAUCUAAGUCGGGUGUGAAAUCCCCGGGCUCAACCUGGGAAUUGCAUUCGAUACUGGAUAGCUAGAGUUCGGCAGAGGGAAGCGGAAUUUCCGGUGUAGCGGUGAAAUGCGUAGAUAUCGGAAGGAACAUCAGUGGCGAAGGCGACACCCUGGACUCAUACUGACACUGAGGUGCGAAAGCGUGGGGAGCAAACAGG
rnacentral:rRNA from 1 species